UUGGGCAAUGGGCGAAAGCCUGACCCAGCAACGCCGCGUGUGUGAUGAAGGCCUUCGGGUCGUAAAGCACUUUUUCUGGGAGAUGAGAAAGGACAGUAUCCCAGGAAUAAGUCUCGGCUAACUACGUGCCAGCAGCCGCGGUAAAACGUAGGAGGCGAGCGUUAUCCGGAUUCACUGGGCGUAAAGCGCGUGCAGGUGGCGCGGUAAGUUGGGCGUGAAAUCUCCCGGCUCAACUGGGAGAGGUCGUCCAAUACUACCGUGCUUGAGAGCAGAAGAGGAAGAUGGAAUUCCCGGUGUAGUGGUGAAAUGCGUAGAUAUCGGGAGGAACACCAGUGGCGAAGGCGAUCUUCUGGUCUGUUUCUGACACUCAGACGCGACAGCUAGGGUAGUAAACGGGAUUAGAGACCCCGGUAAUCCUAGCCGUAAACGAUGUGAACUUGGCGUUGGUGGGUUAAACUCCAUCAGUGCCGUAGCAAACGCGAUAAGUUCACCGCCUGGGGACUACGGCCGCAAGGUUA
rnacentral:rRNA from 1 species